AAUCCGUGUUGUGGACACUUCCGCAAUAGGUCCUUGAAUCGCUCCCAUGUCUCAAACAAGGACUCGAUCUCCAGCUGAACAAACCACGAUAUCCCAUUGCAAAGUUU